UACGUAGGCAGCGAGCGUUGUUCGGAGUUACUGGGCGUAAAGAGCGCGUAGGCGGCACGAUACGACCACGGUGAAAGCCCCCGGCUCAACUGGGGAGGGUCCGUGGUAACGGUCGAGCUGUGAGUGCAGGAGAGGGAAGUGGAACUCCGGGAGUAGCGGUGAAAUGCGUAGAGACCCGGAGGAACACCAGUGGCGAAGGCGGCUUACUGGUCCGGAACUGACGCUGAGGUGCGAAAGCGUGGGGAGCAAACAGG
rnacentral:rRNA from 1 species